rnacentral:tRNA from 1 species
GACUGGUUGGCGCAACGGUAGCGCGUUCGACUCCAGAUGGUGGCAUCACCGUUAGGCAUCGAAAGGCUAGGCGUUCAAAUCGCCUACUGGUCA